rnacentral:rRNA from 1 species
UACAGAGGGGGCAAGCGUUGUUCGGAAUUACUGGGCGUAAAGGGCGCGUAGGCGGCCUUCUAAGUCGAACGUGAAAUCCCCGGGCUCAACCCGGGAACUGCGUCCGAGACUGGAAGGCUCGAAUCCGGGAGAGGGAUGUGGAAUUCCAGGUGUAGCGGUGAAAUGCGUAGAUAUCAGGAGGAACACCGGUGGUGUAGACGGCUCACUGGACCGUAACUGACGCUGAGACACGAAAGCGUGGGUAGCAAACAGG